GUACGGCGAAUUUUCCACCCCUUUGUCAGGAUGGUUCGUUUUCCUGUUUUCCACCUAAGCAAACGACUGAAGCAUUUCAUUCCAAGAAGCCUCCUCGAGUAAGAAUCUCGCUCUGCCAAAUGUGAUGUUCCGCGUUGGGUUGACCCUCACCUAGAAAGAAAGUCUGAGCUCCGUAGGCUAGCGGGUGCAUAAGAGUAUCUGAAAGGGAAGCUGCAGAAGUGGAGCAUUGCGUUUGUGGCAUUGCAACAUCAUCUCGGCUACUGCCGGGGUGGAUCAGUUUUUAGCCUGAGAAGGUAGCACUGUUUCGAGCUUGUCUUGUACUGUCCACGGGAAAUUAUCGUCCCCGACGAGGAGGCUAUUCCCAUGGUUUGUUACAUGGAAGUGCGCUUUGUUAAAUCGCAAUUAAAAUGGUGUUACUCCUGGGAGUAGUGAUUGGUGUGGUGGCAUUUCAAGCUGCCGUAGUUCUUACAUCGACGACACUCUGCGCCAAAAAAACUAAACACUCGCAUCAAAAGGGGAAAUACAAGUCGGGAAAACACAAGAAGCGCUGGAAAAAAGGUGAUAUAGAUCUCAGUCCUGCUGUGGAAGCUUCUACUAGCUGUUUCGGAGGCUGUGAUGGAGGAGGAGGCUGUGAUGGAGGAGGAGGCUGUGAUGGAGGGGGCGGCGGAGGUUGUGGUGGUGGUGGAGCAAGUUAAUACGACACAACUUUUUCUCCAAAUCGCUUAGCGAUCUAGCUUCACUAUAACCAGAAUGUCCAUUUAGUUUUAGUAGAAAACCCGAUAAACUCUAAGACGAAGUGAUUUUUCGUGAAUUGCUCUAGAGCUUAGAAAAUAAACUCUGUAGCUUCGCACAAACUAACGUGCCAUACCCUAUGUGUGGAAAAGAAACAAAGAAGAAAACCUAUGAAAAAUAUUACACGUCCAAAAUAUAUCGGCGCCUUGUGUGACCUUUGCUUUACAACCGCCGCAACAUUUAAAUGUCA